rnacentral:rRNA from 1 species
CUACGGGUCGCAGCAGUCGAGAAUCUUCCGCAAUGCACGAAAGUGUGACGGAGCGACGCCGCGUGAUUGAUGAAGCUCUUCGGAGUGUAAAGGUCUUUUAUGAGUGAAGAAGUUUAUUGACAUUAGCUCAUGAAUAAGGGGCUGCUAACCUCGUGCCAGCAGCAGCGGGUAAUACGAGGGCCCCAAGCGUUAUCCGGAAUCAUUGGGCGUAAAGAGUAUGUAGGCGGUUUAGUUAGUCUUAUGUUAAAGCCUUGAGCUCAACUCAAGAUCUGCAUGGGAAACGGCUAAACUAGAGUGUGUGAGGGGUGAAUGGAACUCAUAGUGUAGGGGUGAAAUCCGUUGAUAUUAUGGGGAACACCAAAAGCGAAGGCAAUUCACUGGUGCACUACUGACGCUGAGAUACGAAACCCAGGGUAGCGAAAGGGAUUAGAUACCCCCGUAGUC